UACAGAGGUCUCAAGCGUUGUUCGGAUUCAUUGGGCGUAAAGGGUGCGUAGGCGGCGCGGUAAGUCGGGUGUGAAAUCUCGGAGCUUAACUCCGAAACUGCAUUCGAUACUGCCGUGCUUGAGGACUGGAGAGGAGACUGGAAUUUACGGUGUAGCGGUGAAAUGCGUAGAUAUCGUAAGGAACACCAGUGGCGAAGGCGACUCUUUGGCCUGUAACUGACGCUGAGGCGCGAAAGCGUGGGGAGCAAACAGG
rnacentral:rRNA from 1 species